rnacentral:rRNA from 1 species
AACGAACGCUGGCGGCAGGCUUAACACAUGCAAGUCGAGCGCCCCGCAAGGGGAGCGGCAGACGGGUGAGUAACGCGUGGGAAUCUACCCAUCUCUACGGAAUAACGCAUGGAAACGUGUGCUAAUACCGAAUACGUCCUUCGGGAGGAAGAUGUAUAGGAGGUAGAUGAGCCCGCGUUGGAUUACCUAGUUGGUGGGGUAAAGGCCUACGAAGGCGACGAUCCAUAGCUGGUCUGCGAGGACGAUCAGCCACACUGGGACUGAGACACGGCCCAGACUCCUACGGGAGUCAGCAGUGGGGAAUAUUGGACAAUGGGCGCAAGCCUAAUCCAGCCAUGCCGCGUGAGUGAUGAAGGCCCUAGGGUUGUAAAGCUCUUUCACCGGUGAAGAUAAUGACGGUAACCGGAGAAGAAGCCCCGGCUAACUUCGUGCCAGCAGCCGCGGUAACAC